AUUGAACGCUGGCGGCAGGCCUAACACAUGCAAGUCGAGCGGAGCGGAGGACGGGUGAGUGAUGACUCUGUAUCUGCCUGGUAGAGGGAGAUAGAGUCCGGAAAGGGGCGGUAACACCGACUGCUUUCAACGGAGCCUAGGUAGGUUGAACUAGUUGGUUGGGUAAAGGCCUACCAAGGGGACGAUCCGUAACUGGGCUGAGAGGAUGAUCAGUCACACUGGAACUGAGACACGGUCCAGACUCCUACGGGAGGCAGCAUUGGGGAAUAUUGGACAAUGGGCGAAAGCCUGAUCCAGCCAUGCCGCGUGUGUGAAGAAGGUCUUCGGAUUGUAAAGCACUUUAAGUUGGGAGGCGUUACCAACAGAAUAAGCACCGGCUAACUUCGUGCCAGCAGCCGCGGUAAUUC
rnacentral:rRNA from 1 species